rnacentral:rRNA from 1 species
GAAAAGAACUUUGAAAAGAGAGUUAAACAGUACGUGAAAUUGUUGAAAGGGAAACGAUUGAAGUCAGUCGUACCAACGGGAAAUCAACCUAUUGGAGUUGUGAAUUUUGGAUUUUGAAGAGUGUAAACCUUCGGGUUCAAAUAUUUGCGCUUUUUAGGCGUAAUUUUUCGUUCGGUAGGUUAACAUCGAUUUUGAAGAUUAUAAAAUGACCGGAGGAAUGUAGCUUCGAUCUCGUAUUGAAGUGUUAUAGCCUUUGGUAGAUGUAAUGAUCAAGAUCGAGGAUUGCAACGAAUACCCUUUGGGCUAUCCGUCUGGUCUCUGAUACGUUGCCUUGGUAACGAAAGCUUGCUUACGUUAUUGAGGUAUUACGAUCAAAAGGCCAGAACGUGAUUACAUUCGU